GGCAUGCGCAGGCCUAACACACAAGUAACGGCAGCACAGAAGAGCUUGCUCUUUGGGUGGCGAGUGGCGGACGGGUGAGUAAUGUCUGGGAAACUGCCCGAUGGAGGGGGAUAACUACUGGAAACGGUAGCUAAUACCGCAUAACGUCGCAAGACCAAAGUGGGGGACCUUCGGGCCUCACACCAUCGGAUGUGCCCAGAUGGGAUUAGCUAGUAGGUGGGGUAAUGGCUCACCUAGGCGACGAUCCCUAGCUGGUCUGAGAGGAUGACCAGCCACACUGGAACUGAGACACGGUCCAGACUCCUACGGGAGGCAGCAGUGGGGAAUAUUGCACAAUGGGCGCAAGCCUGAUGCAGCCAUGCCGCGUGUAUGAAGAAGGCCUUCGGGUUGUAAAGUACUUUCAGCGGGGAGGAAGGCGGUGAGGUUAAUAACCUCGCCGAUUGACGUUACCCGCAGAAGAAGCACCGGCUAACUCCGUGCCAGCAGCCGCGGUAAUACGGAGGGUGCAAGCGUUAAUCGGAAUUACUGGGCGUAAAGCGCACGCAGGCGGUCUGUUAAGUCAGAUGUGAAAUCCCCGGGCUUAACCUGGGAACUGCAUUUGAAACUGGCAGGCUUGAGUCUCGUAGAGGGGGGUAGAAUUCCAGGUGUAGCGGUGAAAUGCGUAGAGAUCUGGAGGAAUACCGGUGGCGAAGGCGGCCCCCUGGACGAAGACUGACGCUCAGGUGCGAAAGCGUGGGGAGCAAACGAGGAUUAGAUACCCUGGUAGUCCACGCCGUAAACGAUGUCGACUUGGGAGGUUGUGCCCUUGAGGCGUGGCUUCCGGAGCUAACGCGUUAAGUCGACCGCCUGGGGAGUACGGCCGCAAGGUUAAAACUCAAAUGAAUUGACGGGGGCCCGCACAAGCGGUGGAGCAUGUGGUUUAAUUCGAUGCAACGCGAAGAACCUUACCUGGCCUUGACAUCCAGAGAACUUAGCAGAGAUGCUUUGGUGCCUUCGGGAACUCUGAGACAGGUGCUGCAUGGCUGUCGUCAGCUCGUGUUGUGAAAUGUUGGGUUAAGUCCCGCAACGAGCGCAACCCUUAUCCUUUGUUGCCAGCGGUUCGGCCGGGAACUCAAAGGAGACUGCCGGUGAUAAACCGGAGGAAGGUGGGGAUGACGUCAAGUCAUCAUGGCCCUUACGGCCAGGGCUACACACGUGCUACAAUGGCGCAUACAAAGAGAAGCGACCUCGCGAGAGCAAGCGGACCUCAUAAAGUGCGUCGUAGUCCGGAUUGGAGUCUGCAACUCGACUCCAUGAAGUCGGAAUCGCUAGUAAUCGUAGAUCAGAAUGCUACGGUGAAUACGUUCCCGGGCCUUGUACACACCGCCCGUCACACCAUGGGAGUGGGUUGCAAAAGAAGUAGGUAGCUUAACCUUCGGGAGGGCGCUUACCACUUGGGCA
rnacentral:rRNA from 1 species